rnacentral:lncRNA from 1 species
AGGGUUUCCAAUAAUCUUGUGUGGAGACUUCCAGAAGUGUUUCAUGUUGUGAGUCCACAGUAGUACUUGCAGGAUGCUGCACAUCAUCUUCUCUGGGGAAAUCAGCAGCUGUUGCCAAGAUAUCAGUUGAUGUAGGGGAAAUUUCAUCAUCAUAGUGUUUCACAGGAAAGUCUUUUUCACCUCCUCCAGAAGAAUGAUCUGGCAUAUGUGAGUACGGAGUAACACUUCCAUAAUAUGAAGGACUUGAUCUCCUGAUAGAGGCAUCCCCUGGAGUUGUGUCAUGUAUCGAUCCACUACCUAAAUUUUCAUCAUCCACACCUGAGGUUGAGGAGUCUCCACUAUGACGUGUGCCAUCUGCAUUGUAACGUGAGCCGUCCUCAUUGUCAAUAACUAUUUCACUCUGAUUACUGAGGAAAGUAAUAUCUAUUCUUUCAAUUGGCUCACAUGCUUUGCUCCUCGUUUCUGUUGCAUUGUAACAAUAUGCAUCAUACCG